GGUCUCGUGGUGUAGUGGUUAUCACGUCUGCUUUACACGCAGAAGGCCGCCGGUUCGAUCCCGGCCGGGACCU
rfam:Rhabditophanes sp. KR3021 genome assembly, scaffold: RSKR_scaffold0000035